GGAUGCAUGAAUACAGAGGGAGGAGAUUUUUUUUUUUUUUUAAUUUAUCGCAAAAAGCACUCACCAGAAGACCUACUGCAGUUAUUCCACUCAACUGCCAAUAGCGGCUGGAGCCCCUCGCAUCAGGGUAAUGCAGCAAUCCCGAAAGUGCCCAUUUCAGUCACCCGCCACCAAGUUUAGCAAUGCCGGGCUUUUGCCUGGAUAAAAUGACCUUACCCACAGGAGUCUCCCGAAAUAUUCCUCCGGUGCGAUCAGUCAGCGAGGCGAGUGCCGGUCACCACACUGCGCACUCGGCCGGAGAAGCCCCGUGUUUACUCCUGGGGCUCAGCUGGCCGCGAGUGCCGCGGACGCGGCGCCCAUCCAUCCAGCGCUGCCAGCUCCGCCGCGGGCGCAGGUCAGGAUUCUUCUAACAGAACAAGAAGCUGUUCCUUAUGAGAUCAACAGUGACGGUGUAGCAUUUUGUGAAAGAGGAGAGACAACUGUCUAAGCAAAGGAGAAAGUUUUAUUUCCAGCAAUGAAGAGAGAUGAAUAAGAAAAAAGAAUGAAGGCAGAGGAUAGUGGCGAGGUCUGAAAUGAAGGCAAUGUGAUCUGAAUGUUGAUGAAGAGGCAUUGACAAGAUGAAAGAUCUCUCUCUGUCGCGCUCUCGCUCUCUCAUUUCCAGUGUGUAAAAUCUGUCCUGUUGACACACUCCUGCGCUCUUUUUAUAUCACAAAACUGGAACAAACAGGAUUCACAAUCAAUGGUGGUGACACAGCCCCUGUGAAAUAUAGUUGCUAAGGGAAGGGCUCAGCACCUGCCACCCAUUUUCCCCCACUUUUUAAGACCCUCCAGUCCAUGUAACUGGACUUUAUCAAGGUUUGAGGAUGCUUCUCUGAGUAAUUUAGGCUGAUUAUAAAUACAGGAGGUCCAUGAGGUACUCACAGUUCACACCCACUUGCCAAGCAGACACAUUAUGUUUGAAAACAGAAGUUUGCCAAACUUGAAAAAAAAAAAAAAAAAAAAAAACAACAACAUUUUUAAUAGUAGAUACAUUGAGGUCAGCUUAAGUUCUUGCUUCAACACAUACUUUGGGGAAAGUGUCACUCUCCAGCCAUCAAGCCUUUGGUUUUGGUGGCAGUUCCUUUCAAAGAAUCAAGGUCUUCAAAUCUGCUUUCAAAGAAUCAGCUGUUGCUGAGAGCUCAGAAGAGUGUGUAUUCUCCCAGAAAAUACUUUUUUACAGUGUAGAACAGCCUUUAGUGGCAGGUAUCAAUAUGCACCUAAAUGUGUCAUCAUAUUGUGAAGGAUACAAUAUACAGACAACAAAAUUGUGCC
rnacentral:lncRNA from 1 species